rnacentral:rRNA from 1 species
UACGUAGGGUGCGAGCGUUAUUCGGAAUUACUGGGCGUAAAGCGUGCGUAGGCGGUUUUGUAAGUCAGAUGUGAAAUCUCCGGGCUUAACCUGGGAAUGGCAUUUGGGACUGCAAGGCUUGAGUGCGGCAGAGGAGACUAGAAUUCCUGGUGUAGCAGUGAAAUGCGUAGAUAUCAGGAGGAAUACCGAUGGCGAAGGCAGGUCUCUGGGCUGACACUGACGCUCAUGCACGAAAGCGUGGGGAGCAAACAGG